AGUGAACGCUGGCGGUAGGCCUAACACAUGCAAGUCGAACGGCAGCACAGUAAGAGCUUGCUCUUACGGGUGGCGAGUGGCGGACGGGUGAGGAAUACAUCGGAAUCUACUUUUUCGUGGGGGAUAACGUAGGGAAACUUACGCUAAUACCGCAUACGACCUACGGGUGAAAGCAGGGGAUCUUCGGACCUUGCGCGAUUGAAUGAGCCGAUGUCGGAUUAGCUAGUUGGCGGGGUAAAGGCCCACCAAGGCGACGAUCCGUAGCUGGUCUGAGAGGAUGAUCAGCCAAACUGGAACUGAGACACGGUCCAGACUCCUACGGGAGGCAGCAGUGGGAAUAUUGGACAAUGGGCUCAAGCCUGAUCCAGCCAUACCGCGUGGGUGAAGAAGGCCUUCGGGUUGUAAAGCCCUUUUGUUGGGAAAGAAAAGCAGCAGGUUAAUACCCCGCUGUUCUGACGGUACCCAAAGAAUAAGCACCGGCUAACUUCGUG
rnacentral:rRNA from 1 species